rnacentral:rRNA from 1 species
UCAUUUAGAGGAAGUAAAAGUCGUANCAAGGUCUCCGUAGGUGAACCUGCGGAGGGAUCAUUACACAAAUAUGAAGGCGGGCUGGAACCUCUCGGGGUUACAGCCUUGCUGAAUUAUUCACCCUUGUCUUUUGCGUACUUCUUGUUUCCUUGGUGGGUUCGCCCACCACUAGGACAAACAUAAACCUUUUGUAAUUGCAAUCAGCGUCAGUAACAAAUUAAUAAUUACAACUUUCAACAACGGAUCUCUUGGUUCUGGCAUCGAUGAAGAACGCAGCGAAAUGCGAUAAGUAGUGUGAAUUGCAGAAUUCAGUGAAUCAUCGAAUCUUUGAACGCACAUUGCGCCCUUUGGUAUUCCAAAGGGCAUGCCUGUUCGAGCGUCAUUUGUACCCUCAAGCUUUGCUUGGUGUUGGGCGUCUUGUCUCUAGCUUUGCUGGAGACUCGCCUUAAAGUAAUUGGCAGCCGGCCUACUGGUUUCGGAGCGCAGCACAAGUCGCACUCUCUAUCAGCAAAGGUCUAGCAUCCAUUAAGCCUUUUUUUCAACUUUUGACCUCGG